rnacentral:lncRNA from 1 species
CUCUCACUUGCGGCUGUGGAAAGGGCGGAAAACACCCCAAAACCGCCCCCUUCCCACCAAAAACCGACCUCCCCAAAAAAUGAAAAGAAAUCGACUCUUACUUCUCUGCAUUCCCCAGCUCUGGGGAUUCUCUCCUCAAAUCCCUGCCGGACUCUCCUGAGCGCGUUUUGAGUGCAGACUGGCCUUUUUUGGUUAAAUCCUCUCUUUUUUUUUUUUUUGAUCACCGGCCCCUCCCGCACGACGCCUUUGGGAUAAAAAAAAAAGAAUUUGGACACUUACUGAGCGGCGCCGGCGGGAGCGGCGGGGCAUUUUCCUCAAAUUCCUCAAUUUUCCUGGCUCCGGGACCCAAAUCGGGAUUUUUCUUCCUUUUUCUCCCUUUAUCCUUCUUUUUUUCAUUAAUUUUCGCUUCUAUUUUCUCUCCUUU